UUCCGUAGGUGAACCAGCGGAGGGAUCAUUACCGAGUUUACAACUCCCAAACCCAAUGUGAACCAUACCAAACUGUUGCCUCGGCGGGGUCACGCCCCGGGUGCGUCGCAGCCCCGGAACCAGGCGCCCGCCGGAGGGACCAACCAAACUCUUUACUGUAGUCCCCUCGCGGACGUUAUUUCUUACAGCUCUGAGCAAAAAAUUCAAAAUGAAUCAAAACUUUCAACAACGGAUCUCUUGGUUCUGGCAUCGAUGAAGAACGCAGCGAAAUGCGAUAAGUAAUGUGAAUUGCAGAAUUCAGUGAAUCAUCGAAUCUUUGAACGCACAUUGCGCCCGCCAGUAUUCUGGCGGGCAUGCCUGUCCGAGCGUCAUUUCAACCCUCGAACCCCUCCGGGGGGUCGGCGUUGGGGAUCGGGAACCCCUCAGACGGGAUCCCGGCCCCGAAAUACAGUGGCGGUCUCGCCGCAGCCUCUCCUGCGCAGUAGUUUGCACAACUCGCACCGGGAGCGCGGCGCGUCCACGUCCGUAAAACACCCAACUUUCUGAAAUGUUGACCUCGGAUCAGGUAGGAAUACCCGCUGAACUUAAGCAUAUCAAUAAGCGGAGGAAAAGAAACCAACAGGGAUUGCCCCAGUAACU
rnacentral:rRNA from 1 species